rnacentral:piRNA from 2 species
UUGGAUGUUAAGUUCUUGUCCUAAACUGA